UUCCGGUUGAUCCUGCCGGAGGCUACUGCUAUUGGAGUUCGAUUAAGCCAUGCGAGUCUAAGGGGUACUUGUACCCCUGGACAUAAUGCUCAGUAACACGUGGAUAAUCUACCCUUAGGUGGGGCAUAAACCCGGGAAACUGGGGCUAAUUCCCCAUAGAUACAGAAGGCUGGAAUGCCUCUGUAUUCAAAGCUCCGGCGCCUAAGGAUGAGUCUGCGACCUAUCAGGUAGUAGUCAGGGUCACGACCUGACUAGCCAACGACGGGUACGGGGUGUGAGAGCACUUGCCCGGAGAUGGUUUCUGAGACACGAAACCAGGCCCUACGGGGCGCAGCAGGCGCG
rnacentral:rRNA from 1 species